rnacentral:snoRNA from 1 species
UCUUGUGAUGAUUAUCCAGAUAGGGACAAAUUAUGCUGUAGCAGAUGAUUAGAUCUGGUCGAGUUUUUUAGUAGAUGCUUCGAUUUUUCUGAAA